UACGGAGGAGGCAAGCGUUAUCCGGAAUUAUUGGGCGUAAAGCGUCCGCAGGUGGCACCUCAAGUCUGCUGUCAAAGACCGGGGCUUAACCCCAGAAAGGCAGUGGAAACUGAAGUGCUAGAGUGCAGUAGGGGUAGAGGGAAUUCCCGGUGUAGCGGUGAAAUGCGUAGAGCUCGGGAAGAACAUCGGUGGCGAAAGCGCUCUGCUGGACUGCAACUGACACUCAGGGACGAAAGCUAGGGGAGCGAAUGGG
rnacentral:rRNA from 1 species